AGCGAACGCUGGCGGCAGGCCUAACACAUGCAAGUCGAACGAAGUCUUCGGACUUAGUGGCGGACGGGUGAGUAACACGUGGGAACGUGCCUUUAGGUUCGGAAUAACUCAGGGAAACUUGUGCUAAUACCGAAUGUGCCCUUCGGGGGAAAGAUUUAUCGCCUUUAGAGCGGCCCGCGUCUGAUUAGCUAGUUGGUGAGGUAAAGGCUCACCAAGGCUACGAUCAGUAGCUGGUCUGAGAGGAUGACCAGCCACAUUGGGACUGAGACACGGCCCAAACUCCUACGGGAGGCAGCAGUGGGGAAUUGUGCGCAAUGGGCGAAAGCCUGACGCAGCCAUGCCGCGUGGAUGAUGAAGGUCUUAGGAUUGUAAAAUCCUUUCACCGGUGAAGAUAAUGACUGUAGCCGGAGAAGAAGCCCCGGCUAACUUCGUGCCAGCCGCCGCGGUAAAAC
rnacentral:rRNA from 1 species